AUGAACCCCUCCUCGGCCCCGGGGCCGGAUGGUCUGCCCAUAACGUUCUUCAAAACAUUCUGGCGGACCAUCAAGCCGGAGGUCAUGGCCCUUUUUGAGGAGUUCUACUCGGGGUCCAUGGAUCUUGGGUGUCUUAACUACGGGAUCGUUACCCUCAUCCCCAAGGUCUCGGGUGCCUCCGAUAUCCACCAGUUUUGUCCUAUCACAGUGAUCAACGUGAUAUUCUGGAUCCUGGCUAAAGGGUACGCCAAUAGGGUGACCCUGCUUGCUGACGCGGUUACCCAUCCUAACCAAUCCGCCUUCAUCCAAGGACGAUUUAUUCUGGAUGGGGUGUUGGUCCUCCACGAAGUCCUCCAUGAGGUCCGGGUGAAACACCAUCAUGCAGUCUUCCUGAAGCUCAACUUCCACAAAGCGUGCGACACGGUCCACUGGCCCUUCGUGCGGGAAGUUCUGCUUCGCAAGGGCUUUGACGACCGAUGGUGA
rnacentral:rRNA from 1 species